UGGGGAAUAUUGCACAAUGGGCGAAAGCCUGAUGCAGCAACGCCGCGUGAGUGAUGAAGGUCUUCGGAUUGUAAAGCUCUGUCUUUUGGGACGAUAAUGACGGUACCAAAGGAGGAAGCCACGGCUAACUACGUGCCAGCAGCCGCGGUAAUACGUAGGUGGCGAGCGUUGUCCGGAUUUACUGGGCGUAAAGGGUGCGUAGGCGGAUGUUUAAGUGAGAUGUGAAAUACCCGGGCUUAACUUGGGUGCUGCAUUUCAAACUGGAUAUCUAGAGUGCAGGAGAGGAGAAUUGGAACUUCCUAGUGUAGCGGUGAAAUGCGUAGAGAUUAGGAAGAACACCAGUGGCGAAGGCGAUUCUCUGGACUGUAACUGACGCUGAGGCACGAAAGCGUGGGUAGCAAACAGGAUUAGAUACCCUGGUAGUCCACGCCGUAAACGAUGAGUACUAGGUGUAGGAGGUAUCGACCCCUUCUGUGCCGCAGUAAACACAUUAAAGUACUCCGCCUGGG
rnacentral:rRNA from 1 species